rnacentral:tRNA from 1 species
CGGGGUGUAGCGCAGCCCGGUAGCGCACCUGAAUGGGGUUCAGGAGGUCGUGGGUUCGAAUCCCACCGCCCCGACCA